CACUGAAAAGCAUUAAACGUGACCUUCAAAAAAAAUCAUGAACUACCUUGCAAAUGUGAUGACUUUCAGCACUAGCUGAAGUCGUGUCUCUAGCGAUAGCUAAAGGAACCUAAAUGUUGUUUACACCAUUUCAUGAGGAUUCCACGAAGGACGACUUGAAAAGGUUUACCUGUGUUGGCCUUUCAUCGGCAGUCCAGAAAACAGUAUCCCACAUCUUGGGUACCCAUGGAACACAGCUGCCACGCGAGAAUGACAUCUACAUUUCAUCUGAGGUUACACGUAUGCAUGGCUUCACACAAAGGAUAGAAAUAAACAAGUUAACUGUUCAGUAGUAGCCCAAGUUUAUACUAUAACGUAAAGUGGUACAGUCACUAACAAAAUCCCUGCUGUCAGAAAACCAAUGACAUCAUCACACGCCAGAGUUUUCGGUCCGUGCCCACAGCGGGAUGCCCUGAAAUGGAUCUGAAGUGGAUCAUGUACUAGAUUCCUUUCUAGAUGCAGCACUGCAGGUGCUAAUGAAGUGGUCAGAAAGGGGCACAGAGCUCAAAAUUCCACUUCCUGUGGAGGACAACAGUUGAAAGAGAAGCAAGGAGAAACCAAGGAGAGGUACCAGACAACCAUUUCAGGGGAAUGAGUCACAGCAUCAAUAUUUAAACAGUCUGACCUGAUUUGACAUAAGGAAUAAAUAUGUCCACUUCGAUUAUUCAUACGGAGCACACUUGCCAUUUCAUCCUCUGCACCUGAGAUGUUCUUUUUCCCCCAACCGCCUUUCUUUGAGAAGCUAUCCAACAUAAUUCACCAUUUAAUGUGCUGGACCUGGUGGUAGUGUUUCGCUGCUGAGUUAGGGUCUCCAUUACUUCAUUAUAAUACUUUAAGUAACCUUGAGGAGACAAGAAGCAUUAUAUGGCAUUCCUUUAAAGUAGCGAUCAAACUGAAAACAAGCCGGUUUUAUGUCUCGUCGGGGUCGGAUGAUUCUGUGAUAAGUGGUACUGUUAGUUAGUUAGUCCCAGCCGGUCGCGUGUGGCAUGGCAUUGUCCUGCAGGAAAUGUUGCCAUCAGUGUUGUGCCUGUGAGAAUGGGCAUUUUCUGCUCUGGACAGUGUCCAACAUCACGCUUGCAUGACGUUAUGUCAGAUGUACAGUAUAUUUCUAUGUACUAUCUAUGUCGGUAAACUUGUACUGUUGUAUUUGUGCACCCUCAGGUCUCGUCCUGAGGUGCAAUGGGCCUAACAAGUGCAAUAUUUUUAAAGCCUGUUUCACUGUAAAUAGCCAUGUGUCUGGCCCAUGUCUAAAUUUUAGAAGUGGAUUCCCAGAGAGGGAUGUGUGAGUAUGGGUUUCAUUGUCCGGGUCGCAUCGUGGAAAGUCUCCUACUUUCGUGUCAGAUGAAGCCAUUUCCCAUGUCUCUCCAAAUGAACCCCAGUGCGUAUGAUUUGGGACAGUGAGUACGUGCAGCCUGACUGGAAAAUUACAACGCCAACACGGUCAUUUACGACGGGAAACCUCCCAGAUGACAGCUGAUAUUGAGGCCGAGUGGGGAAAUAGUGUACGUGUGAACGUGAGAGAACAUUCGGUGUGACCGCGCGUAGCGUCCCCUUGUGCAUUCGUCCGCCUCCUUGACUUCAGCAUGUGUAGGGAUUUGUAUUGGGAUUUCUGCUGCGAAGAUAUUGAAGUGAUGGGUGUUUAUCUUCAGGAAAACAUUUACCUAGAGUUUAGAGGUGAUGCACGGUUUUCCUGUGCUGCUGUAUGCAGUCUUUUGUACACUUCAGGGAGGAACAACAGGGAAACCGGGGAAUAACGGUCAGUUCUACCAUGUUAGCUAUUGCUAUUUAGUCCUGAAAGGCAUUUCCAUUCAUGAUUACACACGGAAGAGAACGGUUUACUUCUGUCCAACACAGAAUUGUAUGCUAUAUUACAGACAGAUUAUAUUGUUUCCACUUUGGUUAAUUGCUUUAGAGGCCUAGUAGCCUAUACGGUCUCGGUAAGUCGGCAUUGAAGUUAAUAAGAAGAUUUACAGCAGAUAAAAGCGAAACGGCAGCUGCCCUCCACACCUAGUCUCUGGGACACAUCCUCUGGCAAGCUUAACAUCGUUUGAAUUCAACCAAGUGAAUGAACCUCAGCCAGUGCCUCUCACAAAUUCACCCCCUGCAUCGCUAAAUCUCACGGUUAUUACAGUCAACACCUCCUACCACCGCCAUCUCCUUAUAUGUGAAGAGAGCCAUUGAUGGUGAAAAUCAUUGUCAAUGAUGUGUCAUGGUAACAAAUAAGUUAUUAUUUUUUUUGUGUUAUGCAAAGUUAUGAGACUCCUAGUUAGCUACAUUUCUGAGUCUUCGGAUGGGCCAAACAGAUAUGUCAUUUUACAGUAAAGGGCCUAUUAUGUUUUCUUCAUGAGCUGGAUAUUUUGUUUGUGUGCACGUGGGUGUCUGUGUGGGUGUGACGAUGUAUAAAGCUGUGGUUUUCGAGAUGACAAUAAAAAUACUCCAAUUGUAUUCAUGUAAUCUCGUGGAAAUAGUCAUAAAGUUUGUGAUGAUUUCAGUGAUUACUAGAUCAGGGAAAAAAUAUGUACUGUAAAACCCAGACGGUGUCUUUGCCUCCACAGCGCUGUAAGUCUGCCCUCUGCUGGGGAAAGGGAGAAAGAAGCAUAUCUACACGCA
ensembl:lncRNA